CCGGGUGGGUGCGCCCAGUACCUGAUGGUGGUUGAGUGCAAAGAGUCCCGCGAUGAGCGUUCAGGUACUGUUGAGCCAGUUUCGCUGCCGCCACUCCUGCCGUUGGCUCAUGCUCGCGAACCCAGGUGCGUGUCUCAACCGAAGAACCCUUAGGAGCUGCUCCAGGAUUAUGGCCUCACCAAUCUCCUCCUUGGAGUGUUCCCUCGGUCGAACCCAACGCUCGUACAGGUUCUUCAGGCGGUGGUAGGUCUCCGUCGGCGAUUCCCCUGCCGGAACUGUGGCUGACCGGAACCUCUGUCGGUACGUCUCAGGUGAAAUGUCGUACUUCUCAAGUAAAGCCUUCUUCAGCUCAUCGUACACCUUUGCCUGCUCCUCGUCCAUCGCCAGGUAAGCCUCCAAUGCUCGUCCUGUUAGCAGUGGAACUAGCCGACAACUCCACUCCUCCUCAGGCCACCUCCAGGUCCUGGCUAGGCGCUCAAACCGUCGAAGGUAGUUCUCGAUGUCAUCGCCAGGUUGGAGAGAUGGCAUCGUUGGCUCCAUCCGCUGGGGCGGCCCUCUCAGCACUGGCACACCUGGGGAGUCUCUGUGGUAGCCCGCUCUGCGCGGACUAGCUACCCUCGAAGCAGCUGGCGUUGGCAACUCCAAACGUGGACUCUCUCCAUCUGAGUCCGGCCUAGCUGCCUCCACAAUGGACUCCCGUAGGCCCCGGAGCUCCAGCAGAAACCGCUCUUCUCUGCGCUGCUGUGCGUUCAAGAAGUGUUGCAUCAAAGAGACCAUUCCCUCCUCAGGUUUGGCACCGGGAAUCACCGACGCUGCACUCCCGUCUGACUUCCAGUCCUCAUCAUCCUGCAUCACAGCUGUCACCUUCCCCUGCGACCGCAGCCUAGGUCCAGGUUUUCUGCCUUUCGGUGCUGUCUUGCGUGUAGCCAUCCCACUUCUGACACCAACUGUGGUGAGUGAGCUCUGCUGCUCACUCGAGACGUGGAACGCCGUGCAAAAAACAACCAAAAAAAAGAUGGCUUGCUCGCAGAUAGUGAGUUUAUUCAGUCCAAAAGUAUAGUAUAGUGCAGAAAAGAAUCAGGUGCAGUAUUUACAGUUGCUCCAAAAACCCCGCGGGUGCAACAGACAAAAUAAAAGAAAAACAGAAUGAUAAGGACA
rnacentral:lncRNA from 1 species